rnacentral:lncRNA from 1 species
UCAGCCGCAGCUCCUACGUCAACGCUACUAUAGUCGAAGGUAUCAUAUAUAAAUUUUGGCCCCGAUUGAAGUCGGUUAAGGUGUGUCGCACAAGGGUCAAAGUUCAGAUUACCCUAGGAAGGGAUAUCCUCGACUUUAAUAGAUAGUAUUUAUGUAGUGUAUGUAUAUUUAUGUGUGUAUGUGUAUUUAUGUAUUAUUGUAGAAAUUUUUUUUAGUCCAUAGAAACCUUUGCGGCACGCUUUAACCGACUCCAAUUAGGACCAAAAUUUAUAAGGGACAUCCUCGACUUUAGUUAUAUAGAUUUUGGGUAUUAAAUGAAAAAAAUAAAAAUAUUUUUAAAUGAUUGAGUCUAUAUAGAGGAAUCUGUACUUUGCCUCCUGUGCGACACGCCUUAGCCGUAUGAUAUCUGGGACCCUGGAUUGAGGGGGUGAGACUGAAAAGAUGCAUUCAUUUUAUUUUUAUGGACCACCCUAAUUUACAUAUUUGAAAACACGAAAAUGCGAACAUCCUUUUCCAGUGUUUUUCUAUUUUUGUGUAAUUUUUUGUGCGUCUGUGUACCCACUUUAAUAUGCAUAAGUAAAUAUGCUUAUCACACAUACAUACAUUUGUAUGUAACUACAAUGAUUUUAUCGCGCAAAAACAGCGCACACCUGCACAGCUUCAGUUCAUCAUCAUCCUUUACAUAUUAAAUUGUUGCUCAAAUUUACUUACCGUAUGCUAAUUUUUUCGUUGACAUCUUCAUUGUUACAUAUUCUUCGUGCACGGCGAGCUUACGAAUUCGCAUGUAGUUUUUGACUUUUUUCACAUUACCGCACCCAAUUAGAUUCAUAUGCGUGCGUGGGUGUGCGUGUGUGCUAAAAUUUUUUAUGUAAAUUUUUAUGCUAAACACGUUUUAAUAAUUUAUAAUUCCUUAUCAUUUUGUAUCAUUUACGUUUUUAUCUCCACUUGCGACGUCCUGCCAACAAAAACAUAAAACAACAAGAACAACAACUAUCGCUAUAUACAGUUGACUGUAAGUUGGUGACACCCUGUCGCAACUCUACGUACGCCAACUAUUCGCAAAUGCCCUGCCUCUGUUCAUUCUUGUACGUGCGUAUGCUCAUUCGCUGUGGUGACUUUUCCUGGCUGUGUGCCGCAUGGUGCUCGGUAACUUGCGGCCAAGGCUUGCAAAUGCGUGGCGUUGAAUGCAAAUCAUCCACCGGCAGUGCCGCCCACUUGGGAGACCCGCAUCCGUGCAGCCAUACGCGACGGGCGACUCUUGUGAUGGCGGUGGUACAGUUAUACUCGGCAGCAGCGGGCCACUCGCAGCGCAGUUCGUUGAUAGUGAUCUCGACGUGGAGGAGGAUGAGGACAAUGAUGAUUCUGCGGAUGUUGACGAUGUCGACGACGAAGGCGUUGACGAAUCUGGCGAUGCCGGCAAUGAUAAUGCCGGUUUAGUGUUAUACAUACAACGAUGAUUCCGCACCGCAGUACGCGCAUCGCUCGAUCAGUCAUUUGCAUCAUGAUGAGCUGCAACAGCCGCGUGCCGAACGCCUUACUAGCGGUGGUGUUGGAUAUGGUUAUCGCAGUAAUUCGGAUCCAGAAGCGCAGGUGCCUGCUGGCGUUCCAAGAUAUGUCUUUUCACAUAGAACCCGUCAAAAUAUGGAACCUCAUCUAAAUAGAGAAUACUUGUGAACCCGCAUGGCGUUGAAACGCCAAAAUUGAAUUUAACUUUUUAAACAGGUGAAAGCCUAUUCAAAAACCUCAACAAGAAUCCGAGUUCUUUAACUUGACUUCUCAUUUUGGAAAUUCGAAAUAACGUUGCUGAUGUGAUGACCUUCAAAAAAAUUGAUGCUCACAAACCACACGCCGCAAACAACAAAGUGGGCGUGAACGCAAUCGACGAUCCAAAACCGAUGAGGCACAAAAUAUGGACAGCAACAUAAUGGAUGGAGAACGAGCACUUGUGGCCUUUUCAGAAAUUCGACAAUUGAAGAGGGCAUCACAUGCUGUUCGACAACGUUCUAUAAUUCGGCAUCGAUUUGGAAAAUUUCGAACAAGACGAACCGGCGCGACCACAAAUCGACACUAAAAAUCUACUAGUGCUCACAUCAACAUCUUCAGCAUCAGAACUGUUUGCUUCAUCAUCGCUUACAGCCGUGGCGACAAUGAGUGGCAGCACGCACAGGAAGCAACAGCCCGUAUAAGCGUCAUCAUCAGCACAACUACAGCAGCAAUAACAACAAAACUACAAUAAACAUUUGGCAUAGCAACACAUGAGGCCGAGACUCACCACAUUCACCGCAUGCCAGAUGGCAAAAGCAGGGUGGCGAGACCAAGGCCACAGCGCCACCCGGUAAUCAUGUCACGUACGAAUGGCGCAUCAGUAAGACUGGCCUGACUUUUCGAAAGAACGUCGCCCAAUCACUUUUGUACGCCUACGCUAUCACACGCCCACCCACAACGCCUUGGAGUCGCAUGUCGAGGCAGAUAUCGAGGUGGUUGACAACGCGUAUUGCGUGGAUUAUGGCCUGAGUAUUCCCGACACGUGCGAAGUGUGCGGCCAGGAGAAGUGUGCCAGUCGGCAGGCUGGCGAUUGGACGUUGUGUCAGCGUGCUCGCUGCUUCGGUCGCAAUACAGCCAUGCAAAAG